CAUAGGACAUCUCUAAGGGGGAAAGGAGAUGCCCUCAUUGGAAUGAGGGAGAGGCAGGAUGUGGGGUUCCUUCCUUUUGUCCUCAGAUGACCCAUGCCAGGUACAGAAGGCGCCUCCUCCCAAAGCUAGGCUAGUCCCUCCACCAAAGUCAGGAUCAGAGCCCACACCUGCUUGGCCAACCCCUGGCACUGAUGAUGCCUGCGUGCGGCUUAAGCUGGGGGUUGAGGUGCCAGCUUGCGUGCACUCAUGAAGCAGCUGCUGUGUCGUGAGCCAGCUUAUGGGAAAUGCAUGUGGUGGAGAACCAAGGGUGGCAGCUGGCCAACAGCAAGCCAGGAGCUGAGGCCCACAGCCCAAAAACUGGAGAGGAACCACAGGCUGCUAACAGCCAUGUGAAGGAACUUAGAAGCAAAUCCUUCCCCAGUUGAACCUUCAGAUGACACCAGAGCCUUGGCUGACCCCUUAAUUUUGCCCUUGUAAGAGAUGUUGAGUCAGAGGACUUGGCUAAACCACGCCUGGAUUCCUGAGUCGCAGAAACUUGAGAUAAUAAAUGUUGUUUUAAGCCACUCAA